GCACCCCUACGGGGCGCAGCAGUGAGGAAUAUUGGUCAAUGGGCGCGAGCCUGAACUAGCCACGUCGCGUGAGGGAAGACGGUCCUAUGGAUUGUAAACCUCUUUUGUCGGGGAGCAAAAGACGCCACGUGUGGCGUUCCGAGAGUACCCGAAGAAAAAGCAUCGGCUAACUCCGUGCCAGCAGCCGCGGUAAUACGGAGGAUGCGAGCGUUAUCCGGAUUUAUUGGGUUUAA
rnacentral:rRNA from 1 species